UACAGAGGUCUCGAGCGUUGUUCGGAUUCAUUGGGCGUAAAGGGUGCGUAGGCGGCGCGGUAAGUCGGGUGUGAAAUCUCGAGGCUUAACUUCGAAACUGCAUUCGAUACUGCCGUGCUAGAGGACUGGAGAGGAGACUGGAAUUAACGGUGUAGCGGUGAAAUGCGUAGAUAUCGUAAGGAAGACCAGUGGCGAAGGCGGGUCUCUGGACAGUUCCUGACGCUGAGGCACGAAGGCCAGGGGAGCAAACGGG
rnacentral:rRNA from 1 species